rnacentral:lncRNA from 10 species
CUCUGAAAGCAAUUUAGAGGAGAGCCAAGAGGAACAGAGCCUACCCCUUUAAUUAGCCUGCGGAGCCAGGCAAGGAUAAAAUCCUGACUCCUGUAGUUCGUGUGUAGGGUGACUAUAUGACUGAUAUUCAACCUGGGAUGGCUGUGAAUACGAAUGUAAGGAAAACAGAUGCAAGGGGGACUGCCACGGGAAAACCAAGAUGUAUCCACGAGACCCUGCUAGAUCUGGCUGCAGCCCCAACUCUCCCUGUCCCCAUCUGCCCACCUUGCUCCAGAUUAGACAUUUCUGGACCUGGCAACGGAACCUCUGUUAGGGCUGAAACUAAAGACAACAAUGAUUCUGACCCAGGAGCCUGGGCUCUAAACUCUUUGGGAAGUGGGCCCACUUUCCACACGGACAAACGAACGGCAGCUCAUGAACAAAGAGGCACAGGAAGAGGGAAGGGGGUCAGGGAAGGUGACAUUUCCCGAGUGCCCACGCAAGGCCUGGAUCGCCACAUGCUUCAAUUCAUUUAUGAACAGCCACUAGAGGAACACGGUGACACUGAGGUGGAGAGAAAGAAACGAGCGUUUUGGCAGUGGAUGGGGUCUGGGGGUGCUGACAGCUGA